GACGAACGCUGGCGGCGUGCUUAACACAUGCAAGUCGAACGGAAAGGCCUGCUUUCCCUUGUGGAUUGCGGGUACUCGAGUGGCGAACGGGUGAGUAACACGUGAGUGAUCUGCCCCCAACUUGGGUAUAAGCCUGGGAAACUGGGUCUAAUUCCCGAUAGGACUGCAGGGUGGUGCCUGUGGUGGAAAACGAUUUUCUAGUGGUUGGGGGUGAGCUCGCGGCCUAUCAGCUUGUUGGUGGGGUAAUGGCCUACCAAGGCGGCGACGGGUAGCCGGCCUGGGAGGGUGGACGGCCCCAUUGGGACUGAGAUACGGCCCAGACUCCUACGGGAGGCAGCAGUGGGGAAUAUUGCACAAUGGGCGGAAGCCUGAUGCAGCGACGCCGCGUGGGGGAUGACGGCCUUCGGGUUGUAAACUCCUUUCGACCGCGAGGAAGCCACCUGGUUGGAAGGGUGGUGACGGUAGUGGUAGAAGAAGCACCGGCUAACUACGUG
rnacentral:rRNA from 1 species